rnacentral:lncRNA from 1 species
AUGGGGACACUUGCCCAGGGCUUCGGCCUUUACCGCUUCCUUGGGGGGACGCUCCGGUUCCUGAUGCAGCCCGGCUCUUGGCCGAGGUGUGGUCUGAUCCAUGUCCCCGCAGUGGGCCGGCCAGCAGGGGCUGCCCCUGUUCCCAGUGGCCACCUGCUGGCUGAGGCCUCGGUUCACUUCAGGCCCAGUGGGGCUGCUGCCGCAGCCUUUGCCGCUUGUCCCGGCUUGCCCUCCCCCGCUGCGGGGCCACCCUCCCGCAACUUGCUCGGGGUUUUCUCCUGGGACAGUGGAAGGGACAGAUUUUGCGGUCUGCACUUCAAUGGUGUGAGAGGACCUGCCUGGUGGGCUUGCCCAGGCCUGGGGGCCUGUGGGAGGUGUGGAGCAGGGGUCCGGCAGGGGCUCUGUGUGUUGAGUGUCUCUGGGAAACAGAAAAUCCUGAUAGGGAGGCCCCUCCUGCCCUGGGAUUUGCUCUCUGAACAGGGAGGCAUGCUCAGAGCGGCCCUGGUCCUCUGGACUCGCCCCGCCCUUGCCCUGCCGGGGGUGGGCUGCCUGCCCCUGCCAUGUUUGCCUCUUUCAGGUCUCCAGUGCUGCCUCCAACCCCAAAGCACAGUCGUCGGUGCAGGCAGGGGAGGAGGGUCGGGCAGGACUGCUUCUCCCUGGACCCCCGGGUCACAGCCAUCAGUGUCCACAGGGGAGGAGGGCUGGGCAGGGGACCGCUUCUCCCUGGACCCCCGGGUCACAGCCGUCGGUGCCCACAGGGGAGGAGGGCCGGGCAGGGGACCGCUUCUCCCUGGACCCCCGGGUCACAGCCGGUGCCCACAGGGGAGGAGGGCUGGGCAGGGGACCGCUUCUCCCUGGAUCCCCUGGGUCACAGCCAUCAGUGUCCACAGGGGAGGAGGGCCGGGCAGGGACCGCUUCUCCCUGGACCCCCGGGUCACAGCCGUCGGUGCCCACAGGGGAGGAGGGCCGGGCAGGGACCGCUUCUCCCUGGACCCCUGGGUCACAGCUGCUGCCCACAGGGGAGGAGGGCCGGGCAGGGACCGCUUCUCCCUGGACCCCCGGGUCACAGCUGCUGCCCACAGGGGAGGAAGGCCGGGCAGGGACCGCUUCUCCCUGGACCCCCGGGUCACAGCCGGUGCCCACAGGGGAGGAGGGCUGAGCAGGGACUGCUUCUCCCUGGACCCCCGGGUCACAGCCGGUGCCCACAGGGGAGGAGGGCUGAGCAGGGACUGCUUCUCCCUGGACCCCCGGGUCACAGCCGGUGCCCACAGGGGAGGAGGGCCGGGCAGGGACCGCUUCUCCCUGGAAGUUCAGAAUCCUCUAGAGGUCAGCUAUGGCAAACUCCAAUGUGGCAAGGCGUUCUUGACUGAUAAGUGA